rnacentral:rRNA from 1 species
GACGAACGCUGGCGGCGUGCUUAACACAUGCAAGUCGAGCGGUAAGGCCCUUUCGGGGGUACACGAGCGGCGAACGGGUGAGUAACACGUGGGUGACCUGCCCUCAGCUCUGGGAUAAGCCUGGGAAACCGGGUCUAAUACUGGAUAGGACUCCAUGGCGCAUGUUGUGGGGUGGAAAGCCUUGUGCGGCUGAGGAUGGGCCCGCGGCCUAUCAGCUUGUUGGUGGGGUGAGGCCUACCAAGGCGACGACGGGUAGCCGGCCUGAGAGGGCGACCGGCCACACUGGGACUGAGACACGGCCCAGACUCCUACGGGGGCAGCAGUGGGGAAUCUUGCGCAAUGGGCGAAAGCCUGACGCAGCGACGCCGCGUGAGGGAUGACGGCCU